UGAACGCUGGCGGCAUGCUUUACACAUGCAAGUCGAACGGCAGCGCGGGGGCAACCCUGGCGGCGAGUGGCGAACGGGUGAGUAAUAUAUCGGAACGUACCCAAGAGUGGGGGAUAACGUAGCGAAAGUUACGCUAAUACCGCAUACGAUCUAAGGAUGAAAGCAGGGGACCGCAAGGCCUUGUGCUCCUGGAGCGGCCGAUAUCUGAUUAGCUAGUUGGUAGGGUAAAGGCCUACCAAGGCAUCGAUCAGUAGCUGGUCUGAGAGGACGACCAGCCACACUGGAACUGAGACACGGUCCAGACUCCUACGGGAGGCAGCAGUGGGGAGUUUUGGACAAUGGGCGCAAGCCUGAUCCAGCAAUGCCGCGUGAGUGAAGAAGGCCUUCGGGUUGUAAAGCUCUUUUGUCAGGGAAGAAACGGGUGGGGCUAAUAUCCUCAUCUAAUGACGGUACCUGAAGAAUAAGCACCGGCUAACUACGUGCCAGCAGCCGCGGUAAUACGUAGGGUGCAAGCGUUAAUCGGAAUUACUGGGCGUAAAGCGUGCGCAGGCGGUUUUGUAAGUCUGUCGUGAAAUCCCCGGGCUCACCCUGGGAAUGGCGAUGGAGACUGCAAGGCUAGAAUCUGGCAGAGGGGGGUAGAAUUCCACGUGUAGCAGUGAAAUGCGUAGAGAUGUGGAGGAACACCGAUGGCGAAGGCAGCCCCCUGGGUCAAGAUUGACGCUCAUGCACGAAGGCGUGGGGAGCAAACAGG
rnacentral:rRNA from 1 species